rnacentral:tRNA from 1 species
GGGCCCGUGGCCUAGCCAGGACAGGGCGCAGCGUGCAUAAUAUGGCAAUAUUUCACCGCGCAAGCCUUCGGAGCCUGAAGUCGAGGGUUCAACUCCCUCCGGGCCCGCCA